rnacentral:rRNA from 1 species
UACGUAGGUGGCGAGCGUUGUCCGGAUUUACUGGGCGUAAAGAGCGCGCAGGCGGUCGUUCAAGUCGCGUGUGAAAGCCCCCGGCUCAACUGGGGAGGGUCACGCGAUACUGAUCGACUCGAAGGCAGGAGAGGGAAGUGGAAUUCCCGGUGUAGUGGUGAAAUGCGUAGAUAUCGGGAGGAACACCAGUGGCGAAGGCGACUUCCUGGCCUGUUCUUGACGCUCAUGUGCGAAAGCGUGGGGAGCAAACAGG